rnacentral:rRNA from 1 species
AACGAACGCUGGCGGCAGGCUUAACACAUGCAAGUCGAGCGCACCUUCGGGUGAGCGGCGGACGGGUGAGUAACGCGUGGGAAUAUACCCAGAUCUACGGAAUAGCCUUUGGAAACGAAGCGUAAUACCGUAUACGCCCUUCGGGGGAAAGAUUUAUCGGAUUUGGAUUAGCCCGCGUUGGAUUAGGUAGUUGGUGGGGUAAUGGCCUACCAAGCCGACGAUCCAUAUCUGGUUUGAGAGGAUGAUCAGACACACUGGGACUGAGACACGGCCCAGACCCCUACGGGAGGCAGCAGUGGGGAAUCUUAGACAAUGGGCGCAAGCCUGAUCUAGCCAUGCCGCGUGAGUGACGAAGGCCCUAGGGUCGUAAAGCUCUUUCGCCAGGGAAGAUAAUGACGGUACCUGGUAAAGAAACCCCGGCUAACUCCG